rnacentral:rRNA from 1 species
GUCUUUUUGAGUAUAAUUUAAGGUCUAACCUGCCCAUUGAUUAUUUAAAAGGCCGCAGUAUUUUGACUGUGCAAAGGUAGCAUAAUCAUUAGUUUUUUAAUUAAAAGCUUGUAUGAAUGGUUGGACGAGAUAAAUUCUGUCUCUUGAUAAAUUAAUGAAUUUAAUUUUUAAGUUAAAAAGCUUAAAUAAUUUUAAAAGACGAGAAGACCCUAUAGAUUUUUAUAAUGUAAUUGAUUAUUUAAAUUAGGAUUAAUUAGUUGAUAAUAAAUUUUAUUAUUUUAUUGGGGUAAUAGGAAGAUUAUUAUAAUUCUUUUUUUUAUAUUACAUAAAUUAAUGAUAAAUAGAUCCAUUAUUAGUGAUAAAAGAUUAAGUUACCUUAGGGAUAACAGCGUAAUUUUUUUAGAGAGUUCAUAUCGAUAAAAAAGUUUGCGACCUCGAUGUUGGAUUAAAAGUAAUCUUAGGUGAAGAAUUUUAAGAUUUUGGUCUGUUCGACCAUUGAAUUUUU